rnacentral:rRNA from 1 species
GACGAACGCUGGCGGCGUGCUUAACACAUGCAAGUCGAGCGGUAAGGCCCUUUCGGGGUACGACGAGCGGCGAACGGGUAGGAGUAACAACGUGGGUGGACCCGCCCUCAGCUCUGGGAUAAGGCCUGGGAAACCGGGUCGUAAUACUGGAUAUGACUCCAUGACGCAUGUUGUGGGGUGGGAAGGCCGUUGUGCGGCUGAGGAUGGGCCCGCGGCCUAUCAGCUUGUUGGUGGGGUGAUGGCCUACCAAGGCGACGACGGGUAGCCGGCCUGAGAGGGCGACCGGCCACACUGGGACUGAGACACGGCCCA